UACAGAGGUCUCGAGCGUUAGGCGGAAUCACUGGGCUUAAAGCGUGUGUAGGCGGGUCGUUAAGUACCUUGUGAAAUCCCAUGGCUCAACCAUGGAACUGCUUGGUAUACUGGCGAUCUUGUGCAACCUAGGGGCGAGCGGAACAGAUGGUGGAGCGGUGAAAUGCGCAGAUAUCAGGAGGAACACCAAUAGCGAAGGCAGCUCGCUGGGACGUUACUGACACUGAGGCGCGAAAGCGUGGGGAGCGAACAGG
rnacentral:rRNA from 1 species